UACGUAGGGCGCAAGCGUUGUCCGGAAUUAUUGGGCGUAAAGAGCUCGUAGGCGGUUUGUCGCGUCUGUCGUGAAAGCUUGGGGCUUAACCCCAAGUCUGCGGUGGAUACGGGCAGACUAGAGGCAGGUAGGGGAGAACGGAAUUUCCGGUGUAGCGGUGAAAUGCGUAGAUAUCGGAAGGAACACCAGUGGCGAAAGCGGCUUCCUGGUCCAGCACCGACGUUCAGGCACGAAAGCGUGGGGAGCAAACAGG
rnacentral:rRNA from 1 species